UCUUGCUGGUGUAUGAACAGAUUAGGAUGUGAGUUGGUUUGAUGACCCUAAAAACACCACUGGAGCAUUGACUACGAGGCUCGCCAAUGAUGCUGCUCAAGUUAAAGGGGCUAUAGGUUCCAGGCUUGCUGUAAUUACCCAGAAUAUAGCAAAUCUUGGGACAGGAAUAAUUAUAUCCUUCAUCUAUGGUUGGCAACUAACACUGUUACUCUUAGCAAUUGUACCCAUCAUUGCAAUAGCAGGAGUUGUUGAAAUGAAAAUGUUGUCUGGACAAGCACUGAAAGAUAAGAAAGAACUAGAAGGUGCUGGGAAGAUCGCUUCUGAAGCAAUAGAAAACUUCCGAACCGUUGUUUCUUUGACUCAGGAGCAGAAGUUUGAACAUAUGUAUGCUCAGAGUUUGCAGGUACCAUACAGAAACUCUUUGAGGAAAGCACACAUCUUUGGAAUUACAUUUUCCUUCACCCAGGCAAUGAUGUAUUUUUCCUAUGCUGGAUGUUUCCGGUUUGGAGCCUACUUGGUGGCACAUAAACUCAUGAGCUUUGAGGAUGUUCUGUUAGUAUUUUCAGCUGUUGUCUUUGGUGCCAUGGCCGUGGGGCAAGUCAGUUCAUUUGCUCCUGACUAUGCCAAAGCCAAAAUAUCAGCAGCCCACAUCAUCAUGAUCAUUGAAAAAACCCCUUUGAUUGACAGCUACAGCACGGAAGGCCUAACGCCGAACACAUUGGAAGGAAAUGUCACAUUUGGUGAAGUUGUAUUCAACUAUCCCACCCGACCGGACAUCCCAGUGCUUCAGGGACUGAGCCUGGAAGUGAAGAAGGGCCAGACGCUGGCUCUGGUGGGCAGCAGUGGCUGUGGGAAGAGCACAGUGGUCCAGCUCCUGGAGCGGUUCUACGACCCCUUGGCAGGGAAAGUGGUG
rnacentral:sRNA from 1 species